GCGGGUGCAGUUAAGUGGAACGUCGAAAGCCGCGUGCUUCAGAGAGCAUAACGUUUCACACAAGGCUGAUAGUCCCAUUGGGACACCUUGAAUAGGCCCCAUUUUUACCAUGCGACUACUCGAAAUCUAUUAUUUUGCUGGGAUAAUCCUCGCAUGAUCGGUCAAAGCGACUGUUGCUAGUGAGUGAGAGAAGCUAAAUGGAAUGGAGUUGUAAAAACGAGACAGGCCCUCAUGAUGACUUAGCAGUCGAAAGCGCUAGGCCAUCUUUACAUUCAAAGGUUGAAUUAAACCACACCCAGAAUUAUAUAUACACUAUAACACAAACUCUUGUUAUUGGAAAUCUGCAUAAGUCCGAAAGAAAGUUUAGAAAAUGGACUAAAAGUUUUUGUAGUCCAAAGACCGUUUCCACUAUUGCUACAAAUAUCGGCACCUCACGAUGAAACACCCUGGAUAAGCUGAAGAACCAGCCAAUGAAAAAGACCAGUAGAAGCACCUAUGAAAUGGGUUGUGUGUUAAAACGUAAGUCAGCCAGAGGAUUUAUAAAGUUACUUGUUUCAGACUUAUCCGAAAAACAUCUUUUGUGUUUUCUUGUGAGUUUUAUAUCUCGCAAUCUUUAUAUCUCGUUAGACAAUUUCAAUAAUUUUCUUCCUUUAUAGUUUGUUGUUAUACAUAUAAAUAUUUUUUUAUUAUUGAAAACUCCUAUCUAAACUCGGAGCUCUAGAAAUUAAAUAAAUGAAAGUUUAU
rnacentral:lncRNA from 1 species